AAGCUGUGAUGAAGAUCUAGCUGUUACCGGAGACGGUCUCUAACGAUUUCGUCGUUGAUGGCAACACAACCCCCUAAAAAGUUCUGAGCUU